UCGGUGACCCGUGAAAACACGACCGGAGCACGCGUGAUGGAACACUGCUGGAGCGGGGGAGCCGCACUAGCCAACCGGCCACUGUCCUCGCGCCGCCCGGCGCGCUGGCUGGGGGCCGAUCACGGCGUGGGAUGACGCCAAGUAACAUGCGAUGCGGAGGCGGCGGAGGCGGCUCUUUGGAGCGUGCCGCUUGCUGCCGACGUGAUGAAAAUC
rnacentral:misc_RNA from 1 species